UUGCGGAUAUGGUUGAAUGGUAAAAUUUCUCUUUGCUCAAGGAGAAGACGCGGG
rnacentral:tRNA from 1 species